CACAACUUUCAUGUUCAACCACCUAGAAAUUAAGAGGUUUAGCUACUCAUGAAUCUCUUUAGAAGAAGAGAUUUCAUGUGUUUACUAGGCAAUAGUCAAAAAUAAAAUAAAAUAAAAGAAAUAAGCUAAACCUUGUUCUUGAGCUUUGCCCUACCUUUUGGCUUCCCCAAAUUAGAUGGUUAUCAUAAACACCACAUGGAGGGGGUUUAUAUAGAGUUUAGGAAUCCUUACAAUAUCAAAAAUCAAUCCCAAUCGAGUUGGGACAAGUCUUGGUUCGCGCCACAACCCACAGAGCGAGCUAUGUCAUAAGGAACAACUGAAAUCCAGAGAAGUACCGAAACCUGCGCCACCCCCUGCUUUUGGGUGAGUUUUCAAAAAGCAGCACAAAUCUGCGCCGCUGUGUGCUUUGUAGCAGUGGUGCAAGUCACUCUCUACUUGACCAUUUUUCGCUCGUUUUUCUACGCGUUGCGACAUAGAUCCUCCCUUUGUUGUAUUUGGUUCCUUGGCAAACUUUUUCGUCUUGUUUGAGCUCCAAAUGCCUCAAGAAACUCCUACAUAAGCAAAUUACGAAACACAAGUAUAAAUCACAUUAUUUAAGCUCAAGACAACACGAAGAAGAAAACAAAUGUAAGGCAAAAGAUGGUAAAAUAAUGUGUUUUUUAUCCUUGCAUCAGUAUCCCUACUGAUUUCUAACAUAAAUGUGCUUAAAAAAUCUGUACCUAUAAUCUUCAAAUUUUUUCUUGUAAUGUUUAAUGGUAACAUCAGUAAUGAAAAAUAUAAAUGUUGUUAUGAGCACAAUCUAUCUUAGUU
rnacentral:lncRNA from 1 species